UACGGGAGGGCAGCAGUGGGGAAUAUUGCACAAUGGGCGAAAGCCUGAUGCAGCUAUGCCGCGUGUAUGAAGAAGGCCUUAGGGUUGUAAAGUACUUUCAUCGGGGAGGAAAAACAAAACUAAUAAUUUUAUUUCUUGACGUUACCCGAAAAAGAAGCACCGGCUAACUCCGUGCCAGCAGCCGCGGUAAUACGGAGGGUGCUAGCGUUAAUCAGAAUUACUGGGCGUAAAGAGCACGUAGGUGGUUUUUUUAAGUCAGAUGUGAAAUCCCUGGGCUUAACCUGGAACUGCAUUUUGAAACUGAAAUACUAGAGUAUCGUAGAGGGAGGUAGAAUUCUAGGUGUAGCGGUGAAAUGCGUAGAUAUCUGGAGGAAUACCUGUGGCGAAAGCGGCCUCCUAAACGAAUACUGACACUGAGGUGCGAAAGCGUGGGGAGCAAACAGGGAUUAGAUACC
rnacentral:rRNA from 1 species